rnacentral:rRNA from 1 species
UACGUAGGGGGCAAGCGUUGUCCGGAUUUAUUGGGCGUAAAGAGCGUGUAGGCGGCCUGAAAGGUCAGCUGUGAAAACUCGAGGCUCAACCUCGAGACGUCGGUUGAAACCAUCUGGCUAGAGUCCGGAAGAGGAGAGUGGAAUUCCCGGUGUAGCGGUGAAAUGCGCAGAUAUCGGGAAGAACACCCGUGGCGAAGGCGGCUCUCUGGGACGGUACUGACACUGAGGAGCGAAAGCGUGGGUAGCAAACAGG